rnacentral:rRNA from 1 species
GACUCUUGGCAACAGAUAUCUUGGCUCUUGCAUCCAUGAAGAACGUAGCGAAAUGCCAUACUUGGUGUGAAUUGCAGAACCGCGUGAACUGUCGAAUCUUUGUAUGCAAGUUGCCAGGACGCCUUUAGGCCGAGUGCACGUCUCAUGCAUUGCAU